rnacentral:misc_RNA from 1 species
CCAAUAGCGUAUAUUAAAGUUGUUGCAGUUAAAAAGCUCGUAGUUGAAUUUCGGGAUUGGCGCAUCGGUCGUGCCUCACGGGGUAUGAACUGGUGCAGUCAAUUUCUCACCUUCUGGAGAACCGCGAUGUCCUUAAUUGGAUGCCGCGGGGAACCAGGACCUUUACUUUGAAAAAAUUAGAGUGUUUAAAGCAGGCAUUUUUGCUUGAAUACAUUAGCAUGGAAUAAUAAAAUAGGACGGCAUGGUUCUAUUUUGUUGGUUUCUAGGACCACCGUAAUGAUUAAUAGGGAUAGUUGGGGGCAUUAGUAUUCAAUUGUCAGAGGUGAAAUUCUUGGAUUUAUUGAAGACUAACUACUGCGAAAGCAUUUGCCAAGGAUGUUUUCAUUAAUCAAGAACGAAAGUUAGGGGAUCGAAGACGAUCAGAUACCGUCGUAGUCUUAACCAUAAACUAUGCCGACUAGGGAUCGGAUGAUGUUAAUUUUUUAAUGACUCAUUCGGCACCUUACG